GCAAGGCCCCGCCGGCAGGCCCGGCCCGGGCACCCGGGACAGAGGACGCCCGGGGCAGAGGAGAGGACACCCGGGGGCGGGCCGCCGUGUAGGCUGCGGAGCCGCCCCGAGAGGCGGGCCCGGCCCGGACGGCUGAGCGGCGGCUGCCCGACCCUCAGGGUCAUGUGGAACACUGUGGCUUUGUGCUCCCUUGGCAGGCGGCCCCCCAAGGCCGCGUCUCCACUGCUCCCAAGGUUACAAACCUUAAAUCGCGUGUUCGAAAGAAAGUAUAAGGAUUUGUGUCACGGUAAAGAGCCAGCACACGUACUGCAGAAUCAGGGGUUGAAAUGGACACGCGACAUGCUUCCCUGCCGUUUAGUAAGUAACAAAGCAAAAUAUAGACGGUAUGCCAAAACUUACCCUGUUUUAGAUGGACGUAUCCUGUCUGUGUAUCGACAUGUGUUUGAAGAGAAUUUAAGGAACAGUGAGGCUGUUAUUAAAAGAUAUUCAGAAUUGCUAGAGACGGUCAGUAAAGGAGGGGGAGAAAAUGCCAUCUUGCGUCAUACGCAGAGAAACAAGAAGCUGUUUGUUCGUGAGCGCCUGAAGUUGCUACUCGAUGAUGAGCCUUUUCUUGAGCUGUCUCCGCUGGCAGGCCUCAGUUUGCCAUAUGGGGAUGUCCCUGCUGCUGGGUGCCUUACUGGAAUUGGCAAAAUCUGUGGGGUCUGGUGUGUCUUCACGGCAAAUGAUGCAACGGUGAAAGGAGGAACUAUUUAUCCCAUUGGAGUAAAGAAACAAUUAAGAGCUCAAGAAAUAGCCCUGCAGAACAGACUGUGUUCUGUGUACCUGGUUGACAGCGGGGGAGCAUUCCUACCGCUACAGUCAGAGCUGUUUCCCGACAAGUUGCACGGCGGCAGAGUUUUCUACAAUGAAGCAAUAAUGUCUGCCAUGAGAAUCCCUCAGGUGGCAGUGGUGUGCGGCUCCUGUGUGGCCGGAGGUGCCUACUUGCCAACCAUGGCAGAAGAAGCUGUGAUCAUAGAUAAAAUCGGUACACUGUUCCUUGCUGGCCCACCUCUGGUGAAAGCUGCUACAGGAGAAGAUGUCUGUCCUGAGGACCUAGGAGGAGCCAGACUUCACUCUAAAGUCAGUGGCUGUAGUGACCAUUUUGCAUCUUCAGAAAAGGAAGCCUAUGAAUGUAUUCGGAACGUUAUCUCAACGUUAAAUUAUGAUCCGCUGCCAGAGGAGGUCGUAGAGCACGACAGCCCCCUGUUUAGUUCUGAUGAGCUCUUGGGACUGGCACCGCGAGAUUAUAGGUGUACUCUUCCUGUGAAACUGAUUCUGAGCCGUCUGAUGGAUGGAAGCAGGUUCCAGGAAUUCAAGGCUAAUUAUGGAACAACAUUAGUAACAGGAUUCGGCCACGUGGAAGGGCACUUGGUGGGGGUCGUGGCUAACAACGGGGAGCUGUCUCAUGAUGCUUCUCUCAAGGGCAGCCACUUCGUUCAGCUCUGCAGUCAGCGCAGCAUUCCCAUCCUCUUCUUCCAAAACACUGCUCCUCAUACAGCACAGCCAGCCAGCAUCUCGCAGGCAGAGGCUCACUCCAACAGGUUAAAAGCCCAGGCCUCCAUGAUGGCUGCUGUUGCUUGUGCGGCUGUUUCCAAAAUAACCAUUGUAAUCGGUGGCUGUUAUGGGAACGAAAGUUAUGUUAUGUGCGGGAGAUCGUUCAGUCCAAACUUCCUGUUCUUGUGGCCUAACGCAAGAGUUGCUCUUGUGGAUCCAAGACAUUUCUCCACAGUCCCACAGGCUGGGGACAGUGACUGUACAGGAGAUGAAUCAGAGCUAAAACAUCUGAAAGAAAAGCUAGAGGAAGAAAGCAGUGCAUUUUACUCCUCUGCCAGACUCUGGGAUGAUGGUGUAAUUCUACCUCAAAAUACAAGAAAGGUAAUUGCGCAGUGCUUGGAGAUUACAGAACAGCAGAAGUACCAGGCCGUGUCUCCGUGCCAGUAUCCCGUCAUCAGGAUGUGACUGCGCCCCGCUUCAAAUAACCAGCCUUCUCGAGGUAGCGCCCCCCGCUGGAAGUCUUUAAUUCAUGUUUUGGUAUGAAAUCCAGAAGUCAAGAAACUGCACUUGGGAAAGGCCCAGUCGGAUUGCUCCGAGGAUAAUAAAGGAGUGACCAGGAGGUGAUUUAAAUCUGUGCUACUUCAGUAUUACAGUACCUCGUCUCAAGGCACGUAACAGCACAGAGACUGUCCUACACCACGUUACCGUGGGUACAGGUACCGAGUUUACACGCGGCCGUUUCAUGCGUCUUUAACUCUGCUGCAGCCGCACAGUUUCAUUUUGUAAAAAUGAAAAAAAACUCCCUGCCCCAAACUUGUGUUGUUUUAACUGUACAAGCGUUCCUAGCACGGUACGUCUGGAAAUCACGCCCAAGGGUGUAUUUGAAAAAUGCCUGGCUAAGUAUUUUGAAGAGUCGUCAACAAAACUGAAGUGUGCAAUCUUAAUUAAGUA